rnacentral:rRNA from 1 species
AACGAACGCUGGCGGCAUGCCUAACACAUGCAAGUCGAACGAGACCUUCGGGUCUAGUGGCGCACGGGUGCGUAACGCGUGGGAACCUGCCCUUAGGUUCGGAAUAACUCCCCGAAAGGGGUGCUAAUACCGGAUAAUGUCUUCGGACCAAAGAUUUAUCGCCUUUGGAUGGGCCCGCGUUGGAUUAGCUAGUUGGUAGGGUAAAAGCCUACCAAGGCGACGAUCCAUAGCUGGUCUGAGAGGAUGAUCAGCCACACUGGGAGUGAGACACGGCCCAGACUCAUACGGGAGGGGGGAGUGGGGAAUGUUGAAAAUGGGGCGAAGUCCUGAACGAACAAUGCCGGGAGAGGAAGGAGGGCAUGGGGGUUGAAAGGCUUUUUUACCGGGGAAGAAAAUGAAAGAACGGAAAGAAAAAGCCCCGGCAAACUCCGUG